GAAGAACAUGUAAAGUGGACGGUUUCUAUCAAAUUAGAAACUUCUUGCUCAUAUUUCCAAAUCCCAGUGUAAAUAAGCUGAUUAGUCGGGGGAGAUGACUGGAGAAACAGAAGAUGAGAUCCCUGCUACCUGUCGCCAAGGCAACCACGCCCUGGGGUCACGCCUCUCUCUCUCUCUCUCUCCAUUCAAGAAAAUCCGGAGCCGUCUUCACUUUUGGAAAGAGUGAAUUCGCAGAUAAUGCCCCCAGUAAAUUCUGGUUAAAAAAUUAUGUACCUUGGAGAAUUUCCUGUGGAGAUGAGCACACAGCCCUGGUGACAGAGGAUGGGUCUUGUUCACAUUUGGAGAAAAGGACAGUGGGAAGCUGGGCUUGUCAGAAGAGAAGCUGGCCAAUCACAAAGUGCCUCAACAGGUGACAGGCAUCUGUGAUAAAGUGAUGCGGGUAUCCUGUGGAGGAGGGCACACAGUGGCUCUUACGGGUAAGAGAACAUAUUUAGCUUCUCUGUCUUGUCUUUCUUCUUUGUGAAGACUGAAUGUUAUGCACGUCUGGUAAUGCAGAGCAUGAGUUGUAUUCGUUUGGCCUGGGGCAGUUUGGACAGCUCGGUCACGGCACUUUCAUAUUUGAGUCACGUUUACCCAGGGUGGUUGAACAUUUCAGAAGGAGCAGAGUAAAACGUGUGGAGUGUGGAGGGAACCAUGCAGCACUGAUUACUGGUGAAACAUGCACAGAAAACCAUCUGCUAACAUUCUUUGCGUACAGUAAUACAUUUGAUAUGAUAUGAUUUCCUCUAAAACAUAUGCUAGUUCUGUUUGUUUAUAAAAAAUCUGAUGUGCUGGUUGCAAACAGCGGACUUUUGUACACCUUUGGUGAUGGUCGACAUGGAAAGCUGGGGCUUGAAGAAGAGAACUUCACCAACCAGUUCAAACCAACCCUGUGUCCAAGAUUCCUAGACUAUCAUGUACAUUCUGUUACUUGUGGUGGGUGUCACAUGCUUGUGUUGGCAAAGCCCAGGCCCGAAGAGUCGGAGGAACUGAUCCUGGAGGAGGAGGAUGUCACAGAAGACUACUUUGAGAAGUCCUAUACUGAAUUACUGGGGGACACGCAAAGUCAGACCACCCUUCAUAGGAGUUACUCGGCUUGGGUCAGACGCAGAGAACGGCUCUGGGCAGAUGAGAUGAAUGGAAAGGUAGAGGGAGAUGAGGAAAGGAAGAAUAUUUAUAUGAUGAGGAAGAAGAGGAUGAUGAAGAAGAAAAUGAGGAAUAGCAUCCAGAGGAAGAAGAAAAGGGGGAAAAGUUUGAUGAGAAGAAUGAUACGCUAGAUGAGAAGAGAAAAGAAGCAGAGGAACAGGAGCAAGGCAUUACAGAGCCAGACAUACAGGUCCCCUGAAACCCUCCAUUCGUACCAUUUAGACAUGAACAUGAUGAUUUAGCAUCACAUUGCUUUCUCUUUUCAAGAGAGCUUCCACCAAAGGCAGUCAGGCAGAGAUCACCACAGCAGGCAAACCAGGAGCUGACGGUCCGCCUCAAAUCCAAGAGACUCGUGAGACAGAGAGUUCAAGCAGAGGAGCACAGACCACAGCAUUCAGUCG